GCCAACAUGGUGUAGUGGCUUUCAUAUUGGACUGGGACUCUGGAGGCCAGGGUUCAAAUCCCAGUUCAGUCA